rnacentral:rRNA from 1 species
GACAGAGGUCUCGAGCGUUAGGCGGAAUCACUGGGCUUAAAGCGUGUGUAGGUGGAUGUCUAAGUACCUUGUGAAAUCCCUCGGCUCAACUGAGGAACUGCCUUUGAAACUGUCUGGCUUGAGGCCGGGAGGGGGUAGCGGAAUUCCCAGUGUAGCGGUGAAAUGCGUAGAUAUCGGGAGGAACACCAGUGGCGAAGGCGGCGACCUGGUUCAAUACUGACGCUGAGGUGCGAAAGCGUGGGGAGCAAACAGG